rnacentral:rRNA from 1 species
GGGUGAGUAAUGUCUGGGGAUCUGCCCGAUAGAGGGGGAUAACCACUGGAAACGGUGGCUAAUACCGCAUAACGUCGCAAGACCAAAGAGGGGGACCUUCGGGCCUCUCACUAUCGGAUGAACCCAGAUGGGAUUAGCUAGUAGGCGGGGUAAUGGCCCACCUAGGCGACAAUCCCUAGCUGGUCUGAGAGGAUGACCAGCCACACUGGAACUGAGACACGGUCCAGACUCCUACGGGAGGCAGCAGUGGGGAAUAUUGCACAAUGGGCGCAAGCCUGAUGCAGCCAUGCCGCGUGUAUGAAGAAAGCCUUCUGGUUGUAAAGUACUUUCAGCGGGGAGGAAGGCGGUGAGGUUAAUAACCUCGCCGAUUGACGUUACCCGCAGAAAAAACACCGGCUAACUCCGUGCCAGCAGCCGCGGUAAUACGGAGGGUGCAAGCGUUAAUCGGAAUUACUGGGCGUAAAGCGCACGCAGGCGGUCUGUUAAGUCAGAUGUGAAAUCCCCGGGCUUAACCUGGGAACUGCAUUUGAAACUGGCAGGCUUGAGUCUUGUAGAGGGGGGUAGAAUUCCAGGUGUAGCGGUGAAAUGCGUAGAGAUCUG